UAGUCCACGCCGUAAACGAUGAGAACUAGCCGUUGGGACCCUUGAGGUCUUGGUGGCGCAGCUAACGCGAUAAGUUCUCCGCCUGGGGAGUACGGCCGCAAGGUUAAAACUCAAAUGAAUUGACGGGGCCCGCACAAGCGGUGGAGCAUGUUGUUUAAUUCGAUGCAACGCGAAGAACCUUACCACCCCUUGACAUACUCGGAACUUUCUAGAGAUAGAUUGGUGCCUUCGGGAACCGAGAUACAGGUGCUGCAUGGCUGUCGUCAGCUCGUGUCGUGAGAUGUUGGGAUAAGUCCCGUAACGAGCGCAACCCCUAUCCUUGUUUGCCAGCACGUAAUGGUGGGAACUCCAGGGAGACUGCCGGUGAUAAACCGGNGGAAGGUGGGGACGACGUCAAGUCAUCAUGGCCCUUACGAGUAGGGGCUACACACGUGCUACAAUGGCGUAUACAGAGGGCUGCCAACUCGCGAGAGUGAGCGAAUCCCAG
rnacentral:rRNA from 1 species